rnacentral:rRNA from 1 species
UAGUCAUAUGCUUGUCUCAAAGAUUAAGCCAUGCAUGUCUCAGUGUAAACUUAUAAACAGUGAAACUGCGAAUGGCUCAUUAGAACAGUUAUAGUUUAUUUGAUGUUCAUUGCUACAUGGAUAACCGUGGGAAUUCUAGGGCUAAUACAUGCGUAAAUACCCGACCUCUGGAAGGGUAGUGUUUAUUAGAUUUAAGCCAUCACCAUGCUCGCAUGGACCAGUUGGAAUGAUAAUAACCGAUCGAAUCGCUCUUCGGCGCGAUAAAUCAUUCAAGUUU